CCAGCAGCUGCGGUAACACAGAGGAUGCAAGCGUUAUCCGGAAUGAUUGGGCGUAAAGCGUCCGUAGGUGGUUUUGUAAGUCUGUGGUUAAAGCGUGGAGCUUAACUCCAUAACGGCCAUGGAAACUACAAGACUAGAGUUAAGUAGGGGUAGAGGGAAUUCCCAGUGUAGCGGUGAAAUGCGUAGAGAUUGGGAAGAACACCGGUGGCGAAAGCGCUCUACUGGACUUAUACUGACACUGAGGGACGAAAGCUAGGGGAGCGAAAGGGAUUAGAUACCCCUGUAGUCCUAGCCGUAAACGAUGGAUACUAGGUGUUGCCCGUAUCGACCCGGGCAGUGCCGUAGCUAACGCGUUAAGUAUCCCGCCUGGGGAGUACGCACGCAAGUGUGAAACUCAAAGGAAUUGACGGGGGCCCGCACAAGCGGUGGAGUAUGUGGUUUAAUUCGAUGCAACGCGAAGAACCUUACCAGGGCUUGACAUGUCUAGAAUUCUUGCGAAAGUAGGAAGUGCCUUAGGGAGCUAGAACACAGGUGAUGCAUGGCCG
rnacentral:rRNA from 1 species